rnacentral:ribozyme from 1 species
CAAAAAAAAAAAAAGGAAAAGAAAAAAGAAAAAAAAUUGGGACUCCAACAUCUCAUCUUUGUAG